AUACGAAGGGGGCUAGCGUUGUUCGGAAUUACUGGGCGUAAAGCGCGCGUAGGCGGAUUGGUCAGUUAGGGGUGAAAUCCCAGGGCUUAACCCUGGAACUGCCUCUAAUACUGUCAGUCUUGAGUUCGGGAGAGGUGAGUGGAAUUCCUAGUGUAGAGGUGAAAUUCGUAGAUAUUAGGAAGAACACCAGUGGCGAAGGCGGCUCACUGGCCCGAUACUGACGCUGAGGCGCGAAAGCGUGGGGAGCAAACAGGAUUAGAUACCCUAGUAGUCC
rnacentral:rRNA from 1 species